GACGAACGCUGGCGGCGUGCUUAACACAUGCAAGUCGAACGGAAAGGCCUCUUUCGGGGGGUACUCGAGUGGCGAACGGGUGAGUAACACAUGAGUAACCUGCCCUUGACUUUGGGAUAACUUAAGGCAACUGGGGCUAAUACCUACUAGGAGCUCCUGCUACAUGGUGGGGGUUGGAAAGUUUCGGCGGUUGGGGGUGGAUUCGCGGCGUAUCAGCUUGUUGGUGGGGUAGUGGCUUACCAAGGCUUUGACGGGUAGCCGGCCUGAGGGGGUGACCGGCGACAUUGGGACUGAGGGACGGCACAGAUUCCUACGGGAGGCAGCAGUGGGGAAUAUUGAAGGAUGGGUGGAAGCCGGAUGCAGCAAGGCCGUGUGCGGGAUGACGGCCUUCUGGUUGUAAACCGCUUUCGCUCAUGACGAAGCUUUGUGUGACGGUAGUGGGUAAAGAAGCACCGGCUAACUACGUG
rnacentral:rRNA from 1 species